GACGAACGCUGGCGGCGUGCUUAACACAUGCAAGUCGAACGGAAAGGCCCUGCUUGCAGGGUACUCGAGUGGCGAACGGGUGAGUAACACGUGGGUGAUCUGCCCUGCACUUCGGGAUAAGCCUGGGAAACUGGGUCUAAUACCGGAUAGGAGCCAUUUUUAGUGUGAUGGUUGGAAAGUUUUUUCGGUGUAGGAUGAGCUCGCGGCCUAUCAGCUUGUUGGUGGGGUAAUGGCCUACCAAGGCGGCGACGGGUAGCCGGCCUGAGAGGGUGGACGGCCACAUUGGGACUGAGAUACGGCCCAGACUCCUACGGGAGGCAGCAGUGGGGAAUAUUGCACAAUGGGCGCAAGCCUGAUGCAGCGACGCCGCGUGGGGGAUGACGGCCUUCUGGUUGUAAACUCCUUUCGCUAGGGACGAAGCUUUUUGUGACGGUACCUAGAUAAGAAGCACCGGCUAACUACGUG
rnacentral:rRNA from 1 species